rnacentral:rRNA from 1 species
CGAACGUUAGCGGCAGGCCUAACACAUGCAAGUCGCACGAGAAUCCGGCUUCGGCCGGUAGUAAAGUGGCGGACGGGUGCGUAACACGUGGAUAAUCUGCCCUUCGGCGGGGGACAACAGUCCGAAAGGAUUGCUAAUACCGCAUACGUCGGCGAGCUCUUCGGAGCUUGUCGGGAAAGAUGGCCUCUCCAUGGAAGCUAUCACCGAAGGAUAAGUCCGCGGCCCAUCAGCUAGUUGGCGGGGUAAUGGCCCACCAAGGCAAAGACGGGUAGCUGGUCUGAGAGGAUGAUCAGCCACACUGGAACUGAGACACGGUCCAGACUCCUACGGGAGGCAGCAGUGGGGAAUAUUGGGCAAUGGGCGCAAGCCUGACCCAGCUAUGCCGCGUGAGUGAUGAAGGCCUUCGGGUCGUAAAGCUCUGUGGGGAGGGAAGAACAAGCCUGUGGCUAAUAUCCACGGGCCCUGACGGUACCUCCUUAGCAAGCACCGGCUAACUCCGUGCCAGCCGCCGCGGUAAUAC